AAUACGGAGGGAGCUAGCGUUGUUCGGAAUUACUGGGCGUAAAGCGCACGUAGGCGGCUCAGCAAGUCAGGGGUGAAAUCCCGGGGCUCAACCCCGGAACUGCCCUUGAAACUGCUAGGCUAGAAUCUUGGAGAGGCGAGUGGAAUUCCGAGUGUAGAGGUGAAAUUCGUAGAUAUUCGGAAGAACACCAGUGGCGAAGGCGACUCGCUGGACAAGUAUUGACGCUGAGGUGCGAAAGCGUGGGGAGCAAACA
rnacentral:rRNA from 1 species